GGGUAUGUUUGGAAAUGAAUUUUGGUGAAACUCUUAAGGCUUAUCUGUUUGAGAGUUUAGUAUUUGGACACUGUAAGAGAACACAGACGGGAAUCGACGAGAGCUUAUAGUAAAAAGAAAUUCAACUAAAGGUCUAGAAAAAUUCUUACCCAAUUAUGAUUCAUCUUGAGUGUUUGAAGGUGAUGAGUUUCAUGUUCUAAUCUGUUAUUUCCGUGGAGAUUUUGAAGUAAAUGAAAGGGGUUUCCUUUGUUCUUGAGUUUUGAUUGAAGGUGUCCCUGGAUUCUGUAGGCGGAUUACGAAGAUUGAGGUUUGAGUAGCUGGAGUUGAGGUAUCUAAGUACACUAUAUCUUUGUUUGGGCAGUAUUAUCUUUUAAGAUUGAGG